rnacentral:lncRNA from 1 species
GUAAAACGAGUUUAUAGGCCACAGUUCCUACUCGAUCAAGGAUUUCAAAUGGGCCAAUAAAAUCGAGGGUUGAGAUUUCCUCUCUUCAUCAAUUCUUGCUUCUAGAAUAACGCCUUCUUGAACCUUCUUCUUCACAUUCAUCAGCUCUAAGUAUGUAGCUUGCACGACUUUAACUUUAUCGAUUAAAGUCGAUUCUACUCGUAUAUUCGUUAUCUUCAUG